GGAAGUAAAAGUCGUAACAAGGUUUCCGUAGGUGAACCUGCGGAAGGAUCAUUAAUAAACCUAGUCGUUCGCGUACAGAGGGGCAACCCUCGCGUGAUGUCAGCAAUACCUAGGUCACCCUUGAAUAAACUACCCUUGUUGCUUUGGCGGGCCGCCUCUUUUGGCCAGCGGCUUCGGCUGCUGCGCGCCCGCCAGAGGACCACAACUCUUGUUUUUAGUGAUGUCUGAGUACUAUAUAAUAGUUAAAACUUUCAACAACGGAUCUCUUGGUUCUGGCAUCGAUGAAGAACGCAGCGAAAUGCGAUAAGUAAUGUGAAUUGCAGAAUUCAGUGAAUCAUCGAAUCUUUGAACGCACAUUGCGCCCUUUGGUAUUCCGAAGGGCAUGCCUGUUCGAGCGUCAUUAUAACCACUCAAGCCUUCGCUUGGUAUUGGGGUUCGCGGUUUCGCGGCCCCUAAAAUCAGUGGCGGUGCCUGUCGGCUCUACGCGUAGUAAUACUCCUCGCGUCUGGGUUCCGGUAGGUUGCUUGCCAGCAACCCCUAAAUUUUUUACAGGUUGACCUCGGAUCAGGUAGGGAUACCCGCUGAACUUAAGCAUAUCAAUAAGCGGAGGA
rnacentral:rRNA from 1 species